rnacentral:rRNA from 1 species
CCCCUAGACGUUCUGGGCUGCACGCGCGCUACAAUAAUACGCACAGCGAGUAUCACCGAGCUCGAAAGGGCAAGGUAAACAAUAGAAAAGGUACUGUAAUGGUUAUAGAUCCUUGUAAUUAUUGAUCUUCAACGAGGAAUUCCUAGUAAGUAUGUGUCAUCAUCACGCACUGAUUACGUCCCUGCCCUUUGUAACCACCGCCCGUCGCUCCUACCGAUUGGGUGAGCCGAUGAAACUCUCGGAUGUAGGCUAUUCAUAGCCCGCAGAAGAGAUUUGAAUCGUAGCGCUUAGAGGAAGGAGAAGUCGUAACA